rnacentral:rRNA from 1 species
GACGAACGCUGGCGGCGUGCUUAACACAUGCAAGUCGAACGGGUCUGCCCUGUUUUUUGCGGGGUGGGUCAGUGGCGAACGGGUGAGUAACACGUGAGUAACCUGCCCCUCACUUCUGGAUAACCGCUUGAAAGGGUGGCUAAUACGGGGUGUUCUGGCUGUGCCGCAUGGUGUGGCUGGGAAAGAUUCACUUUUGUGGUGUUUUGGUGGGGGAUGGGCUCGCGGCCUAUCAGCUUGUUGGUGGGGUGAUGGCCUGCCAAGGCUUUGACGGGUAGCCGGCAUGGGAGGGUGGGCGGUCACACUGGGACUGAGAUACGGACAAGACUCGUGCGGGAGGCAGCAGUGGGGGGUAUUGCACAAUGGGCGGAAGCCUGAUGCAGCGACGUCGCGUGAGGGAUGGAGGCCUUCGGGUUGUGAACCUCUUUCGCCGGUGAAGAAGGUCCUGCUCUUUGUGGUGGGGUUGACGGUAGCCGGGUUAUGAAGCGCCGGCUAACUACGUG